CUCCAAUGAUUAUGAGGAAAUGACCUUUUACUUUGCUAAUUUAUGGAGAUUAUUUCUCUCAAGUUUUAUUUUUCUCUUUUCAGAAUUUUAAAAUUUCUGGCAACCGUGAAAGAUUUAAUGUAAUAUUUUAUUGGAUAUACAUAAUUAAUACUCAGAGAGUGUCUGACUUGCAGUGUAAUAUUUCAUAUUCACUUUGCUUUUAGAAAUUUUAUUUUUGAAAAACUCAAACCAAGGGACUAGUAACCUUCAUUGUAUAAUUAUUGUCUGCUACAUCUAUUUUCUCUCCAUGAACUUAUUUUCUACUCUUUAUUUGCUGUAUAAAAUUUAAAUGCAAAAUCUUAGAUUAGACUAGUUUUGGCAUGUUUUUAACUGCCUUUUAAAAAUUCUUCAGAAAAAAAGUUCAGCCAUAUGAACUUUAUAGCAAAACAUUUGUAAACUGACAGGAUUAGUUUACUGUGUUGUUUACUUAUGGUUGUAAUUACAUGCUUGCUUUUUAAAAAUUACAGAUAUUUUUAAAUGCAUAAUAAGCAGUGCCCCACAAAAAUAACUAUUUGAAGAUAGAACCAAUACAAAAGGUCAUUUUAAAGCAAUUUGCCCUGGGGGAUUUUUUUUUCUGUUUUUAUUUUUCUUUUAAAUUGAAACUUGAUCAUGCAUGCUUCUCUCUUCCUUUGAAAAUGCCCUCAUUUUGCCCGCAGUGUGGUGAGUUGGCCGUUUAAACUGGAAAUUUGUCAAUGGCUUUCUGGAACAGGGGAGUAUUUUAUAUCAAAACGAAGAGCAGUUUAUGGGAAAGAAAGCAGCAUGUUUUUAUUUAAAUUAUUCACCCUCAUGAUCCUGAACUUGUUUUCAUCAUGAUGUGAGUGUACUAACUAGGUAAUGAAAGUUAAUGAAUAUUAACUUAGGGAACUUUGAAUGCUGAGCAGCCCCUUAGUCCCACCUGGUAGCUUCAGGUGCAUUUAUUUUUCCUAAGUCCACUCUGUUACAUGAAUCAGACUUCCUCAUUUGUUCUUGCUUGACUGUAGAUUGAUUAUCGAUCCAGGGAAACAAAACUAGGGAAAUUACCUGUAAAUUAUAAUAACUUGGUUAAUUAAUUCUCUCCAGAAACACAUUGCACUUUACUUGAAAUUCCUUUUUCAGCACCAGUUUCUAUUUUGUAUCUUUGAAAUACCAUCUACUAUUAAUUCUGUUGUUUUUCCAUGCAAGCUACAACUUUCUACAUCUGAUUUUAUAUCUACACAAGUACAUCUGAAAGUUUUGUUCCAUCAAAAUUACGUUUAUAAAAUGCUUAAAAGCUUAUUGGGGAAAAGAAUCAUAAUUUCUUCAGGACUGGAAUUAAAGAAAUGUUCUAAUAUUAUCUUUUACUUUUGAGCAAUCUUAUUGGUUUAAGGUGAGGUUUUAUGUAAUUAAAGGAUCAAAAGCAGGAGUUAUAAGCAAUCCAUUGAAUAUAUUUCUGUCUAAAAUAUUGUAAAUAUAAAUCUUAUUAAUUAUUUCUAAAAAUUUGUUUAUUAGUAUUAUAAAACAACGUACUCUAUUUGGUUGUUUGUUUCUAUCAUUUUAGAGAAUAUGUGAGCACUUAAUUCAGACCACCAUGACCUUUGUCAUUAUUUUGAUUGACAGAUAGUAUAAGAGGCCUCUCUCCAUGUUUCGAGGAUGCAUUUUGAUUGUCGAUGAGAUUAAAACAUUCUGCUGGUGAUAGUCACAAAAAUCCUGGGAGGCAGCGUUCUGACAGAAUGCAAUGCAGUCUUAGUGCAAGUGUUAGCAUACAUCUUUUCUUUCUCUUCUCAUGUUAUUCUCUUAAUAAUUGAAAAGUAGAACCUUAAUUGAUGGACAUUGGAUUAACUGGAGACAUUUCAUUGUAGAAAACUUUACUUAACUGGACUCUGUCUUAAUUCAUGCAUUUAUCUUCCUCCCUUGGUAGUAGGAGCAGUGGUUUGCAGAGGUAAUGCAAAAAGUUUACUACAGCCCAGAGAAUGUUUCACACAUGUAGUCGGUAUGAUUAACGCUUGCUGGUAUUUUACUAUGUACAAAUGGUAUGUGAUGGCACUCUAGGAAGAGUUUCAAGUAUUUAUUCUACACACAACUUAUGUAAUAGAAUGACUCAUUGAAUGAAUAAAUACAUCUUGAGGGCUUGCUUUGGAGAACUAAAGCAUCAUAGAUAUUGUUGAGAGAUUUCUAUCUGUACACAAUAAGUACAUGUAAAUGAGUGUGUGUGUGUGUGUGUGUGUGUGUGUUAUAAAAUGCCACCAUGACUCUAGCUCAUUUUACAUCUUAACCUGCUAGCCUCAAACCUCUAAGUGGAGAUCUUGAUGAUUUGGAAUCAUCCUUCUAAAUAAGCCAGAAAUUUAGGAAUCAUUUCUCUCAUCUCUUUCCUACUCACUAUCCAGUUCCAAUCCAUCACAGUGUUUAUAGAAAUUACCAGUCAACUUUCUCUUUAAAUCAUCUACUUCUAUUUCCUUCUUCCUUCAAUAUAGAGGUAAACCUUGUUGAAACUUUGUUUUCAAAUUUAAUGAAUGACUUUAUAUAUAGUUUUGGUUUUUUAACUAUAUGAAUAUAUCACCUAUAACAAAUGCAAAUAUUUGUUUCACACAUCCAUCCUACCCCUGAAACCUCCCCCCUUCACACACACACUUUAUACACUUCAGUGGUUUCCUUUAAGACAAAGUUUUAUCAUUAAGAGGCUGCAUGGUUUUGCUCCAGUUAUCUUUCAUGUCUCAUCUUAAAUUUUGCUUUCUCCCCUUCCCUAUGCACUAGCCAAGCUAACUUUUUUCAGUUUCUCAAUUUGCUCUUUUUCACUACUUGUUGUUUUAAGAAUAUGUUCUCUUGCAUGGAUUAUUCUUGUAUCUAACAUACACUAAUCCUUCAGAUCUGUGCUCCAAUAUCCCUUCUACAGAGAAGAUGCCCCAAUCAAUCAAGGCUAAAUCAAGCGUCACUGUUUACUCAUAUAUCUUUUGUCACAAAACAAUUUAGAACUAUUAUUUUACCUAUAUUUGCAUACUUGUUAUCUGUUUAAUUAUUUUUUCUACUCCUGUUAGUCCACAUACACCUUGAUGGCAGGAGUAGCGGGAGACCAUGUACUCCUUAACUUAAGGGAUGAGAAAGAAGUCAAAAAGCACAAGAGAAGGACAAUGAAUUCAAAAGAGAGGAAAGAAAAUCUGCAAAGGUGUAAAAGAAUACUAUGUUAUUCUAUGUUAAAUAUCACAUUGUGUUGAUUUAUUUUACCUUUGUAUUAUCUCUAAAAUAUCUCCUUGGUCUGAAAAUUGAUGGAUAUGUCUUUUAACUUAAUCAUUUCUUAGUUCUAAGACUCUCAGCCCAAAUUUCAUAUUCAAGGUAUUAAGUCAUAUGUGAUUGGUACUUCACAUACUAUUAGAGAAGCCAAUUUAGUGAAUUUUACAGAGCACAGAACAUCACAUACUUAAAUAUAAUAUGGCCAUAUUACAUGAUGACAUUUAAUUAUUCAGUUUCUUGAUAACCAAACUAUAUUAGAAUUUAAUUAAAAUAUAUUAUUGAGAAGCUAAAGUUUGAAUAUAUCUGUGGCAAUGAUUUUCAUAUGUUAAUAUUUCUUAGUCUGUGCUGGCAGGUGACUGAGUACUUGCUGUCAUAUCAUGCUUAUGUGACUUGUUAUAUGUGCUUUGCAUGAUGGAGUUGACACAUGGCCUUUUACAAACUAAACCUUCAAGAUUCAGAAUGCUAGGCAGCUCAUUAACAUAUGGCCUCAAUCCAGGUGACCAAGCAGUGAGUCUGGAGUCCUGGUCAAUUUAGCAAUUUGUGAUCUGUCAUCUUAAUAUAACUUCCUCUCAUUUAACUUUCUUUAAGAGAAAUAGACUACCUCACCCAUAGUAAUCUGGUUUUGACGAGGUAACAAAAUACUCAUUUCUAUUGUAUGAACUUAAAAUAUAGUGUACAUUUAUUUUUGUAAGUCUUACUUAUAUGCCUAAAUUUUCUAUAAUAAACUGAUUUAAGUCUACAGAUUUCUUUCUUGGAAGUCUUUUUAUUUUCAGAAAUAAAUAAUGUCUCAAAUCCAUUUAUCCAAGUAUGUUUCCCCACUUGUUAUUUAUUAUUAUUUCUGAUGAAAUUCAUGCUAUUUUUUUCCCCUUAAGACUCAUGUGAGACUUUUUUUUUUUAGUAAAAAAUGGUUAGCAAAAACACAUUUUAGAAGUUUCUGUCUUUUAUUGAAGUGAAUGUUUUUGACAGAAGUAAUUGAGUUCACAUGAAUCAAAUGUUGCCUGCUGAGUUCUCUUGUGAUUAUGUUGCUGACUUACUUAGAUGCAAGGCAAGACCACUAAUCUUCAUCAGUUGCUAGUGGAAUGAAGUAGUAAUUUGAAAUUAGCCCUAGAUAAUUAUAGUUUCACUUAUAUCAAAUGGAGGAAAGAGAUUUAGAUUGUGGGUCACUGCCAAAACCAGUCAGAGUGAAGAAGGUAUAUAGUACAUGCUAAAAUACGGGAUAAGGAGGGUUACACGUCAAGGGCUGUGGAGAAAAAGUACUUAUUAAUUGUCCAACUGGGAGAUGAUUGCACAGCGAGGAAAAUGUAGUGAAAAUACCCAAUUCAAGAAAGAGCCUUGAUUCAGAAACAGUACAGUUACAGCAGGGAGUAGAAUGUCGAUCAUUCGUACUUCUGGUGCAUAUUUAUGAUUGAAGCAAAAUUGGCUGGAAAUAUAUUAGGUAUAUUAGGUGUCCAUGCAAUUAUGGAUUAGAGAGCCUAGUUAUUUUUAAUUAGGGACAUUACCAAAAAACAUCAAAGGGGUUGAACUUAUCGUUCUAUUUAGUAUGUUAUUAUAUGUAACAAAAGGAACCUAUUUUAAUUUCAAAAUUUGAACAAAUGAUGGCAAUUAUGGAAGUACAGAAUAUCAAUGGUGCCUGUG
rnacentral:lncRNA from 10 species